UGUUCUGGUCCGGGCCGUACCACCGCGGCCCAGAUGGGGAGGUUGAAUGUUGGGCCUCGGCGUCCGUCCUCCACCCCUUUGUUCUGCCCGGACCGUAUUCCCAAAGCCGGGUAUGUGAGGGCGAAUGUUCUGGUCCGGAUCGUACGUACGCGGCCCAGUUUAGCGGACUGUGCCUGCAGGCCGGGCUUUUCCUGGGUGAGUGUGCAGGGCUGGCUGUGUGGGGCAGGACCUGGCCCAGAGGUGAUACACCAAGAAAGCAGAAGCGAGAUUCCCGCUGCCCUGCGCGCCCUCCUCAGAACACACGAUGGCGCUGCCUUCGUCAUCCCAAACUUCUGAACAAAGUUCACAUGGUAGGUUUUUCUUGGCACAACCCCCCCUCCGCCCAAGAUGCUUGAUGACUGCCCAGUGGUCCUGGGUUUGGGUGGUCAGUGAGUCCUUUGUAGCCAAAUAAUUUCAGAUGCAAAUUUAUAAAAACUCAAAAUUUUUACAGCAAAAUCUCUUAGGUUUCAUGUGGGGAAACAGUUUUGAAACGAUGUCGUGUGACUCCGGGGACCCUGCCCUCUUGGGCUUCCAGUCGGUCUCUGAGCAGUGCUGUCGGGCCUCCAGCUGCUGCCUAAGGGAGCCGUGCUCCAAGGACGCCCUCCAGAGUUGGUGUCCCGUCCCUUUCUCUUGGUCCUGUCAACAGUUUGUCCCCAAAUAAUCAAAGGAAACACUGCUGCCUGUUAAUGAGCAGUUUCACCACUGGGCCACGUCACUGGGUCAUUCGUGACAAAUGCCACAGCUUCUUCCUUUAACUCGAUUCCAGGAAGCAGAGUUUUGGGUGAGAAAACACAGACUGACCAGGAUGCUCCGUAGUCUGCUUAGCUCAAAUGGGGCCAUUUAAGUAAUGUCUCUGCUAAUUUGCACAUCCCCGUUUCCAGCACAGAUCCCAGUGUAGACAGGAAUCAGGACAUAGGCCUCGUGAAGGAGAUCUGACUGACAAAAGGACUGAAGUCGGGGCUCCCGAGCUCUAGCUGGGGCCUCAGGUGCUCUGCCCAAGCCCUGCCUCCCUCCACAAAGCUGGGGGGGGGGCUCCUGACCUCUAUGACCCUUUUUUGAGAACUCUCUCCUCCUUCA